rnacentral:rRNA from 1 species
UACGUAGGUGGCAAGCGUUAUCCGGAAUUAUUGGGCGUAAAGAGCUCGUAGGUGGUUUGUCGCGUCUGCUGUGAAAUCUGGUGGCUCAACCAUCAGCGUGCAGUGGGUACGGGCAGACUAGAGUGCGGUAGGGGAGAUUGGAAUUCCUGGUGUAGCGGUGGAAUACGCAGAUAUCAGGAGGAACACCGAUGGCGAAGGCAGAUCUCUGGGCCGUUACUGACGCUGAGGAGCGAAAGCAUGGGGAGCGAACA